ACUGACAACAGCCAUUUUGCAACCAUGAAGCAACUGCUGUUCCUGGUGUCUCUGAAUGGGCUGUUCCUGGUGAAUCUCAGACCCAGGAUCCAUUUGCAGAGUGAUGUCAACCCAGGCUUUGUCCUUUGGGUGUGGAGGGGCCUGGGGAGCAAGAGUCUCACACAGGUAGAGUUAGACAGUGUUCUCCACUUUGGUACCACCUGCUAGAAUGCUGAGUGGUAAUUUGUUCCUCCAAAUAUCUGGUAGCUGCUUGCUUUUGAAACCUCAUUUGUACUCCAGACAUGUUUACUAUAUGAUUGAGGAAAUGAAGGAAUGAAUCUUCAACUGCUUUUUCAAUUAUCUGUAAAAAUCUCCCCAUAGAGCCCUCAGAAUCUUUUUAUACACACCAUGCCCAGGUUCCUCCUCAUUAUCCUCUUCCUUAAAUGGCAGAUAUUGGAAGAGAACAUUCUUCCUUGGGCUAUAACAUCGCACAGGUUAGUAUAGUGGCCAAUUAGGAACAGUAGUGGUAACCAAAAUAUAGCAGCUUGAUUAAUGGGCGCGCUGCCCUUAAGUUCCUAACUAUUGAGCCAUUGUGAACAGAUGGAAAUAGCUUUCUCUGAAACAACUCUAUUGCCCCUUGUAUAAGGAAAUCAGCUAGCCCUUCAAAGAUCACUGAGAGGUAUAAAAGCACAAAAAAUAGCAUAAAAUCAGAAAGGUGGAAAGAGAAGACAAAGCCAGAAUGGAGAGAGAUUGGACGGUUUCUCUAGUGGCACUUGACCGAUGGUGUCACCAGCUCCCUAAUGAGAAGAGAUUUGAGUGAAGACAAAUAAAACUGCAAAAU
rnacentral:lncRNA from 1 species